GACAGAGGCCUCAAGCGUUAGGCGGAAUCACUGGGCGUAAAGGGUGCGUAGGCGGGUUUUUAAGUCAGAGGUGAAAUCCUGGAGCUCAACUCCAGAACUGCCUUUGAUACUGAAAGUCUUGAGUAUGGGAGAGGUGAGUGGAACUGCGAGUGUAGAGGUGAAAUUCGUAGAUAUUCGCAAGAACACCAGUGGCGAAGGCGGCUCACUGGCCCAUUACUGACGCUGAGGCACGAAAGCGUGGGGAGCAAACAGG
rnacentral:rRNA from 1 species